UUAAGAUGCAUGUUUUUAUUUCAGUUUUAAAAAAUUUUGUAACCAGACAGGAUAAAGUAGACAAGAAUGUUAUUAUCUAACUAUAUAAUAUUUUCUCAAUCUUGUGGAUCACUAAAAUAUAACAAAGGAUUGUUUUCUAUGCUAAUUUUCAGGUUGUCCAGUUAAACCAUUAUUUGGUAUCCUUUGAGCAGGUUAGCCUUUCAACUAUUUAGAGUUUCUUCUCAGAAACAUUCAUAUAUUAUACAGGAAACAUUCAUAGUUUAUUUGGGAAACAUUCAUAUUUUAUACAAGAUGUACAAAUUUAAGACUAGACAAUUAAAAAAAAACCCACAAAAUUAUAGCCGCAACACUAUCCUAGCUGCAUUGUGGUGAUUAUAUUGUUCCGUUAGCUGUCCAUUAUAUACAACUGGAUUUUAAUCGUGCUAUUCACAGAGGGGCCAAAGCACUCAUCUAAAGGUAAAGGCGCUCAGGUUUAAUGUGCACUUUCAUAGCCCUAUGAAAACACAACCAUUAUAUACACUGUAAACACCACAGGGCAUGAAAUCCACCUCCAGCCACAAACAUCAAUCUCACAGGAUCAAGCAUACGAGGUCUAAGGUGGGGUGCCUGACUUUUCUUUUUAAGAAUACUUUUCAUCUAAAAGUCCUGCUAUUCUUUUCACAGGACACUAUUCACUUAUUUCAAAUAUGUUGCCAGUGCUCAAAACAUUUCUGGAACCCAUUUUUGAGGACUACCUGCAGCAUCUGCAGUGAACUCUUCUGAAUGUCCUGGAUGGUGGUGAGUCUUCAUCCUUUGAGGAUGGGUUUGAUUUAGGAAAACAGGCAGAGUUAUUCACAGCCAACUGAAUCCAACUGUGGGAUACCACCCGGGUUCAAACAUGAGAUGCCACUAUAAACAACAAGACCAAUUUUUUUGUACAGCUCGUAAAUUUAGAGUUUAGAAAAUGCCUGAGCAAUGCAGUCCUGAUGAUGUACAGAUUCUUCUAGAGUGAUGACUCAGGGGGCUACGCUCAUUUGAACAGUGUAUCUAGGUGUUUUGCAGCUUUAAAAACCGGUCCUUUUGUUGCCUCUCACAUGGACUUUAGUAUUCCUCUUCAGCUUCAGUCCCUUUUGCUUUCUUAUGGAUUGCCCGAUUAAAGCUGUGGCAGGCAGGAACCCAGUGAUUGUCAUGAAGCCCCAGCUUACAACCAGGGAAUCCUUUCUGAGACCGGUGGCAGCACAUCCAAUACCCUGGCCCAUAGGGCAAUGCCUGGCAAUACGGCUUGGGGUGCCAUCGGCACAGGGACACAUCCCCUUUCACAUACUUUUUCUUGCACUGUUUGCAAGGAUCCUCUCUAUAGCGUGGAUCUCGAACCCAGCGAGAAUCUGCUGGCCUGAUAUUGUAGUACUCAAUGAUAAACUUGAAAUAGCAGCAGGUACAUUUAAGGGCCACUAAACUCUUGGUGGGAAGUAACCUGAAGAUUUUUACCAUAAUGUGGUGGGGCAGAAAAGCCAUGUACUGCUGAGGCUCCAAAAGCUGCUGGAUUUUAAACCUGGUCUCCAGGAAGUCAUGCGACACCUGCUUCUUCCAACUGGAUGCCUCAAGCACUGGUAAUGUACUUUCCACAGAAGAGGCUGGCGGUACAAAUGGCUCAGCAGACCCACUUUUUUCCUCAGAUGCACUGUCACCCCCAGCAGCAUCUUCAAGCUGGCUGGCCUCUGAAGACUCUUUUGUUGUGCUUUCAUUCAACUGGGAAUAGUCUGACAAGUGCUGACCAGGUGGCAAAAAAAACAACAUCCCUGGAACUGGGUCUUCACAGGAGUUUAAAUUGGAAGGCUGGUCUUUGUCUACCUUGGACACAGUGAUACUAAUGCACAAAGAUUCUUUUCUUUGAUCAGGAUUUUGGCUAGUAAGCGACACAAGCUCUCUGCUCAUACAAUCAACAGCAUUUGUGGGCAAUUCAGAGGCUUGGGAAUAGGUAUGAGAGGAAAAAGGUAACCCAACGAGUUCAUCUGUCAUUUCCACAUCAUAUCUGUUGCUGUUUUUCACGGCAGUUUGCGAACCCGGCUCUAACUCUGCACUGUCUAUGUGGAAACUCACUCCUGCUGGCAAUGGGGGGCAGUCCUGAGAAGCACCGUCCCAGGCCUGGUCCUCCUUAGGAGAACAACGAUCAGCUCUUGAAGGGCCACAAUCCACAGAUACAGACCCCACAGGAUUCACCUGAGUGUCAGGUGCCUCCAAGACGCCUUUCUUUGUUUUACCUUCAUCAGCCUGAGUGCUAUUUGCAAGCAAUACUCUGCCCACAUUUCGACGGAAGCUGUUAUUCCUUGAGAGGCUCCCAGGCUCACGCUGGCCCUGCCGCUUCAGGCACUCAGACUCCAACUUGGCUACCAUGUCAAGGACACGGACUGGUUCGCUCUGUGGUUCACCAACCUCAAGAUUUCCCCUUUCUGUGGGUUCUUCACAAGCUCCUGGGGCAGAAUAGGACUCAGACACUGCAGGCACACCUCUGGAUUGGCCAGAAAACCUCACAAUUGCAGGUUUCACAACAGCCCAGAUAUCAAGUGGUCCUUCUUCUUCGCCCUGGUGGAUCGUUGCAGAUGGUGCAUUCUUUUUGGUUUUAACAUUCAAGCUGCUCUCUACAGGACUCUUCCCACUCAUACUGCACAGAACAUUUGGAGAAAGGAUCCCAAAUGGCUUUCGAGAUGAUGCUUUACCGAGAGAGGCUGAAGGAAAGACACUUGGUGUUAUGUGGCUAGCUUUGCAUGUUUCAUCAUUUACAGCCUUUUGGUGGUUCAUAGGAGUUCUCUGCGUUUCCCUGCUGACUUCCGGGGGGUGCUCUUUCUUCUGGAGCUUCCAAUAUGGCUUUAGGUGCAUAACAAAGCCCCUA
rnacentral:lncRNA from 1 species